AUACGUAGGUGGCGAGCGUUAUCCGGAAUUACUGGGUGUAAAGGGUGUGUAGGCGGGAAGGCAAGUCGGAUGUGAAAAUUAUGGGCUCAACCCAUAAAGUGCGACCGAAACUGUUUUUCUUGAGGAUCGGAGAGGUAAUGAGAAUUUCCGGUGUAGCGGUGAAAUGCGUAGAUAUUAGGAGGAAUACCUGUGGCGAAGGCGACUCUCUGGACUGAUACUGACGCUGAGGCACGAAAGCGUGGGGAGCAAACAGGAUUAGAUACCCUGGUAGUCCACGCUAUAAACGAUGAGUGCUAGGUGUCGGGGGUCAAACCUCGGUGCCGCAGUUAACACAUUAAGCACUCCGCCUGGGGAGUACGGCCGCAAGGCUGAAACUCAAAGGAAUUGACGGGG
rnacentral:rRNA from 1 species